rnacentral:tRNA from 2 species
GGGGAUGUAGCUCAGUUGGCUAGAGCGCUUGACUGGCAGUCAAGAGGUCGUCGGUUCGAAUCCGAUCUUCUCCACCA